rnacentral:rRNA from 1 species
UGACGGGGGCCCGCACAAGCGGAGGAACAUGUGGUUUAAUUCGAUGAUACGCGAGGAACCUUACCCGGGCUCAAACGACGGAUGGAUGUCUCUGAAAGGAGGCAGUCNUACGGGACAUCCGUCGAGGUGCUGCAUGGUUGUCGUCAGCUCGUGCCGUGAGGUGUCGGCUUAAGUGCCAUAACGAGCGCAACCCCCAUCGCCAGUUACCAGCAAGUAAAGUUGGGGACUCUGGCGAGACUGCCGGCGCAAGCUGUGAGGAAGGCGGGGAUGACGUCAAAUCAGCACGGCCCUUACGUCCGGGGCGACACACGUGUUACAAUGGCAGGUACAGAGAGAAGCGAUGCGGCGACGCAGAGCGGAACUUCAAAGCCUGUCUCAGUUCGGAUUGGAGUCUGCAACCCGACUCCAUGAAGCUGGAUUCGCUAGUAAUCGCGCAUCAGCCACGGCGCGGUGAAUACGUUCCCGGGCCUUGUACACACCGCCCGUCAAGCCAUGGAAGCCGGGAGUGCCUGAAGUGUGCAACCGCAAGGAGCGCCCUAAGGUAAAACCGGUGACUGGGGCUAAGUCGUAACAAGGUAGCCGU